rnacentral:rRNA from 1 species
GCCUAAAGCGUCCGUAGCCUGAUCUAUAAGUUUCCGGUUAAAUCCAUAUGCUCAACAUAUGGGCUGCCGGAAAAACUGUAGAUCUAGGGAGUGGGAGAGGUAGACGGUACUCGGUAGGAAGGGGUAAAAUCCUUUGAUCUAUUGAUGACCACCAGUGGCGAAGGCGGUCUACCAGAACAUGUUCGACGGUGAGGGAUGAAAGCUGGGGGAGCAAACCGGAUUAGAUACCCGGGUAGUCCCAGCUGUAAACGAUGCAAACUCGGUGAUGCAUUGGCUUGUGGCCAGUGCAGUGCCGCAGGGAAGCCGUUAAGUUUGCCGCCUGGGAAGUACGUACGCAAGUAUGAAACUUAAAGGAAUUGGCGGGGGAGCACCACAAGGGGUGAAGCCUGCGGUUCAAUUGGAGUCAACGCCAGAAAUCUUACCCGGAGAGACAGCAGAAUGAAGGUCAAGCUGAAGACUUUACCAGACAAGCUGAGAGGUGGUGCAUGGCCGUCGCCAGCUCGUGCCGUGAGAUGUCCUGUUAAGUCAGGUAACGAGCGAGACCCUUGCCUCUAGUUGCUACCAUUGCUCUCUGGAGCAGUGGGGCGAAUUAGCGGGACCGCCGCAGUUAAUGCGGAGGAAGGAAAGGGCUACGGCAGGUCAGUAUGCCCCGAA